GGGUUGUGAGGUUAAGCGACUAAGCGUACACGGUGGAUGCCCUGGCAGUCAGAGGCGAUGAAGGGCGUGCUAAUCUGCGAUAAGCGCCGGUAAGGUGAUAUGAACCGUUAUAACCGGCGAUACCCGAAUGGGGAAACCCAGUGUGAUUCGUCACACUAUCAUUAACUGAAUCCAUAGGUUAAUGAGGCGAACCGGGGGAACUGAAACAUCUAAGUACCCCGAGGAAAAGAAAUCAACCGAGAUUCCCCCAGUAGCGGCGAGCGAACGGGGAGGAGCCCAGAGCCUGAAUCAGCAUGUGUGUUAGUGGAAGCGUCUGGAAAGGCGCGCGAUACAGGGUGACAGCCCCGUACACAAAAGCGCAUGUGCUGUGAGCUCGAUGAGUAGGGCGGGACACGUGGUAUCCUGUCUGAAUAUGGGGGGACCAUCCUCCAAGGCUAAAUACUCCUGACUGACCGAUAGUGAACCAGUACCGUGAGGGAAAGGCGAAAAGAACCCCGGCGAGGGGAGUGAAAAAGAACCUGAAACCGUGUACGUACAAGCAGUGGGAGCNNNNNNNNNNNNNNNNNNNNNNNNNNNNNNNNNNNNNNNNNNNNGGGCGUUAAGUUGCAGGGUAUAGACCCGAAACCCGGUGAUCUAGCCAUGGGCAGGUUGAAGGUUGGGUAACACUAACUGGAGGACCGAACCGACUAAUGUUGAAAAAUUAGCGGAUGACCUGUGGCUGGGGGUGAAAGGCCAAUCAAACCGGGAGAUAGCUGGUUCUCCCCGAAAGCUAUUUAGGUAGCGCCUCGUGAAUUCAUCUCCGGGGGUAGAGCACUGUUUCGGCUAGGGGGCCAUCCCGGCUUACCAACCCGAUGCAAACUGCGAAUACCGGAGAAUGUUAUCACGGGAGACACACGGCGGGUGCUAACGUCCGUCGUGAAGAGGGAAACAACCCAGACCGCCAGCUAAGGUCCCAAAGUCAUGGUUAAGUGGGAAACGAUGUGGGAAGGCCCAGACAGCCAGGAUGUUGGCUUAGAAGCAGCCAUCAUUUAAAGAAAGCGUAAUAGCUCACUGGUCGAGUCGGCCUGCGCGGAAGAUGUAACGGGGCUAAACCAUGCACCGAAGCUGCGGCAGCGACACUGUGUGUUGUUGGGUAGGGGAGCGUUCUGUAAGCCUGCGAAGGUGGCCUGUGAGGGUUGCUGGAGGUAUCAGAAGUGCGAAUGCUGACAUAAGUAACGAUAAAGCGGGUGAAAAGCCCGCUCGCCGGAAGACCAAGGGUUCCUGUCCAACGUUAAUCGGGGCAGGGUGAGUCGACCCCUAAGGCGAGGCCGAAAGGCGUAGUCGAUGGGAAACGGGUUAAUAUUCCCGUACUUGGUGUUACUGCGAAGGGGGGACGGAGAAGGCUAUGUUGGCCGGGCGACGGUUGUCCCGGUUUAAGCGUGUAGGUGUGUGUUCCAGGUAAAUCCGGUUCACUUUAACACUGAGGCGUGACGACGAGGCACUACGGUGCUGAAGCAACAAAUGCCCUGCUUCCAGGAAAAGCCUCUAAGCAUCAGGUAACAUCAAAUCGUACCCCAAACCGACACAGGUGGUCAGGUAGAGAAUACCAAGGCGCUUGAGAGAACUCGGGUGAAGGAACUAGGCAAAAUGGUGCCGUAACUUCGGGAGAAGGCACGCUGACACGUAGGUGAAGUGAUUUACUCAUGGAGCUGAAGUCAGUCGAAGAUACCAGCUGGCUGCAACUGUUUAUUAAAAACACAGCACUGUGCAAACACGAAAGUGGACGUAUACGGUGUGACGCCUGCCCGGUGCCGGAAGGUUAAUUGAUGGGGUCAGCGCAAGCGAAGCUCCUGAUCGAAGCCCCGGUAAACGGCGGCCGUAACUAUAACGGUCCUAAGGUAGCGAAAUUCCUUGUCGGGUAAGUUCCGACCUGCACGAAUGGCGUAAUGAUGGCCAGGCUGUCUCCACCCGAGACUCAGUGAAAUUGAACUCGCUGUGAAGAUGCAGUGUACCCGCGGCAAGACGGAAAGACCCCGUGAACCUUUACUAUAGCUUGACACUGAACAUUGAGCCUUGAUGUGUAGGAUAGGUGGGAGGCUUUGAAGUGUGGACGCCAGUCUGCAUGGAGCCGACCUUGAAAUACCACCCUUUAAUGUUUGAUGUUCUAACGUGGACCCGUUACCCGGGUUGCGGACAGUGUCUGGUGGGUAGUUUGACUGGGGCGGUCUCCUCCUAAAGAGUAACGGAGGAGCACGAAGGUUGGCUAAUCCUGGUCGGACAUCAGGAGGUUAGUGCAAUGGCAUAAGCCAGCUUGACUGCGAGCGUGACGGCGCGAGCAGGUGCGAAAGCAGGUCAUAGUGAUCCGGUGGUUCUGAAUGGAAGGGCCAUCGCUCAACGGAUAAAAGGUACUCCGGGGAUAACAGGCUGAUACCGCCCAAGAGUUCAUAUCGACGGCGGUGUUUGGCACCUCGAUGUCGGCUCAUCACAUCCUGGGGCUGAAGUAGGUCCCAAGGGUAUGGCUGUUCGCCAUUUAAAGUGGUACGCGAGCUGGGUUUAGAACGUCGUGAGACAGUUCGGUCCCUAUCUGCCGUGGGCGCUGGAGAACUGAGGGGGGCUGCUCCUAGUACGAGAGGACCGGAGUGGACGCAUCACUGGUGUUCGGGUUGUCAUGCCAAUGGCACUGCCCGGUAGCUAAAUGCGGAAGAGAUAAGUGCUGAAAGCAUCUAAGCACGAAACUUGCCCCGAGAUGAGUUCUCCCUGAGACUUAGAGUCUCCUGAAGGAACGUUGAAGACGACGACGUUGAUAGGCCGGGUGUGUAAGCGCAGCGAUGCGUUGAGCUAACCGGUACUAAUGAACCGUGAGGCUUAACCUUACAACGCCGAAG
rnacentral:rRNA from 1 species